rnacentral:lncRNA from 1 species
AGCUACAGAUUUCCUAUCUGAAGAAUACACUGAGGAGGACAAAUCCUUCUGUUACCAAAGAACAGAAAAACUUGUGAUGGAAAGAGCUAUGAGCCUGUUAUUGGCUGCCAACACAAGUAUUUUGGACUGAGAAAAACUGCACUUCAAACUAAUGAGAAACCAGAGAAACUAUCAAGAACCUUGGUCUAAUCCUGUUUCCAUCCUGGGCCAGGCCGGACUGAGAAGACAACAUGCAUUUUUAGGGGAAAUGACUGAAGUGAAAGGCAAUGUCCUCCUGGACUGCAGAAGCAGGAUUUCCAAGCACACAAGACAGCAGCCGCCUCAGAAGUUACUUGGGAACAGAACUCUGACUCUGUUUAUUCCACCUUUUUCCCAUGUCUGCUUCUCAUGUGACACUAAUGAACAUUAAUGGACCUAUAAUGAUAAAGAAGUUCUGCUCAAACCAAAAGUAUAUACAGCACAGCAUUGCAUAUCUCCACAGCAGGAUAACAGCCAGAAUUGAUGUGCAAACGGUCACUGACAGAUGCUAGCGAAAGACUGAUGAUUUUUUCCUAUAUUUUUUACUUUUCUUGUGCUUUUUAUUCCUUUUAUUUUUUGGCAGUCUUUGGUGACUUUCAAAUUUAGAUUUCAAAAUGUGAAUGAGAAAUAAAUUCUCUAAUUGCAGCGAUGCA